GAUGAACGCUGGCGGCGUGCCUAAUACAUGCAAGUCGAGCGAACAGACGAGGAGCUUGCUCCUCUGACGUUAGCGGCGGACGGGUGAGUAACACGUGGAUAACCUACCUAUAAGACUGGGAUAACUUCGGGAAACCGGAGCUAAUACCGGAUAAUAUAUUGAACCGCAUGGUUCAAUGGUGAAAGACGGUUUUGCUGUCACUUAUAGAGGGAACCGCGCCGCAUUAGCUAGUUGGUAAGGUAACGGCUUACCAAGGCAACGAUGCGUAGCCGACCUGAGAGGGUGAUCGGCCACACUGGAACUGAGACACGGUCCAGACUCCUACGGGAGGCAGCAGUAGGGAAUCUUCCGCAAUGGGCGAAAGCUUGACGGAGCAACGCCGCGUGAGUGAUGAAGGUCUUCGGAUCGUAAAACUCUGUUAUUAGGGAAGAACAAAUGUGUAAGUAACUAUGCACGUCUUGACGGUACCUAAUCAGAAAGCCACGGCUAACUACGUG
rnacentral:rRNA from 1 species